rnacentral:rRNA from 1 species
AACGAACGCUGGCGGCAUGCCUAACACAUGCAAGUCGAACGGGAUCCUAGCUUGCUAGGUGAGAGUGGCGGACGGGUGAGUAACACGUGGGAAUCUGCCUUUUUGGUUCGGGAUAACCGCGGGAAACUGCGGCUAAUACCGAAUGCCCUCGAGAGAGGAAGAUUUAUCGCCAGAAGAGGAGCCCGCGUCCGAUUAGGUAGUUGGUGGGGUAAAGGCCUACCAAGCCGACGAUCGGUAGCUGGUCUGAGAGGAUGAUCAGCCACACUGGGACUGAGAUACGGCCCAGACUCCUACGGGAGGCAGCAGUGGGGAAUAUUGGACAUGGGGGCAACCCUGAUCCAGCAAUGCCGC